rnacentral:lncRNA from 1 species
CGACGUAGGGACUGGAGCUGCCGUGGCCGUCCUUGGGGACAAGGUGGUGAGCGUCGACAACCUCCACGAUGAGUUUUCGAACAGUGGCCAUUCUGAGGUUAGUUUCCGAAGUGUGCGUUUUGGAUGAUAUAGUCUGUUUGUCUAUCUCAUGUCCUAACAAGUAAAAACCCUACUCUGCCAAGUUCAGGGUUCUUGUUCAUCACCAAACCUUUGAAGCUUUUGUGGAAUUCUUUGAUGUGAAUGGUUAGAAUAUGAAUAUGAAUAUGAAUAUGAAUUUGUGGAGUCUGAAGCAGAGAGCAUGGGAAGGCCUAACAAAUUUAAAUUUAAAUUGAAAGAGGGUGCUUA